CUAAUGUCUCGGCCUUUCGGGCAAAGAUCAAAGUGUGUAUCUGUUGUAUCAGCUUCAUAUCUGAACGUCUCCAUUGGUUGGGGAACAUCGAUAUUAAAGCGAUUUUGAAAGGGGGUGAGGUGACCCGGGGCCCUUGCUCCGCCCUCACCACGGGUUGACCCGGUAUUGCAGUACUUCCGGGAAUGGCCCACCACUA